rnacentral:rRNA from 1 species
GACGAACGCUGGCGGCGUGCUUAACACAUGCAAGUCGAACGGAAAGGCCCUGCUUUUGUGGGUUGCUCGAGUGGCGAACGGGUGAGUAACACGUGAGUAACCUGUCCUUGACUUUGGGAUAACUUCAGGAAACUGGGGCUAAUACCGGAUAGGAUCUCCUGCUGCAUGGUGGGGGUUGGAAAGUUUCGGCGGUUGGGGAUGGACUCGCAGCUUAUCAGCUUGUUGGUGGGGUAGUGGCUUUCCAAGGCUUUGACGGGUAGCCUGCCUGAGAGGGUGACCGGCCACAUUGGGACUGAGAUACGGCCCAGACUCCUACGGGAGGCAGCAGUGGGGAAUAUUGCAGAAUGGGCGGAAGCCUGAUGCAGCAACGCCGCGUGCGGGAUGACGGCCUUCGGGUUGUAAACCGAUUUCGCCUGUGACGAAGAGUGAGUGACGGUAAUGGGUAAAGAAGCACCGGCUAACUACGUG